rnacentral:rRNA from 1 species
UACGUAGGGCGCAAGCGUUGUCCGGAAUUAUUGGGCGUAAAGAGCUCGUAGGCGGUUUGUCGCGUCUGCUGUGAAAACCUAAGGCUCAACCUUGGGCUUGCAGUGGGUACGGGCAGACUAGAGUGCGGUAGGGGGUGACUGGAAUUCCUGGUGUAGCGGUGGAAUGCGCAGAUAUCAGGAGGAACACCGAUGGCGAAGGCAGGUCACUGGGCCGCAACUGACGC